rnacentral:rRNA from 1 species
GUUGGGUGCAAUUUGGCACGCAGUAUCGAAGCUAACGCGUUAAGUUCGCCGCCUGGGGAGUACGGUCGCAAGACUGAAACUCAAAGGAAUUGACGGGGGCCCGCACAAGCGGUGGAGUAUGUGGUUUAAUUCGAUGCAACGCGAAGAACCUUACCUGGCCUUGACAUGUCGAGAACUUUCCAGAGAUGGAUUGGUGCCUUCGGGAACUCGAACACAGGUGCUGCAUGGCUGUCGUCAGCUCGUGUCGUGAGAUGUUGGGUUAAGUCCCGCAACGAGCGCAACCCGUCCUUAGUUGCCAGCACGUAAUGGUGGGAACUCUAAGGAGACCGCCGGUGACAAACCGGAGGAAGGUGGGGAUGACGUCAAGUCCUCAUGGCCCUUACGCG